CAGUAGCCGCGGUAAUACGAAGGGUGCAAGCGUUACUCGGAAUUACUGGGCGUAAAGCGUGCGUGGGUGGUGGUUUAAGUCCGUUGUGAAAGCCCUGGGCUCAACCUGGGAAUUGCAGUGGAUACUGGGUCACUAGAGUGUGGUAGAGGAUAGUGGAAUUUCCGGUGUAGCAGUGAAAUGCGUAGAGAUCGGAAGGAACAUCUGUGGCGAAGGCGACUAUCUGGGCCAACACUGACACUGAGGCACGAAAGCGUGGGGAGCAAACAGGAUUAGAUACCCCUGUAGUCCCUGUCUCUUAUAU
rnacentral:rRNA from 1 species